rnacentral:rRNA from 1 species
UACGUAGGGUGCAAGCGUUAAUCGGAAUUACUGGGCGUAAAGCGCGUGUAGGCGGCUCGGAAAGUCGGAUGUGAAAGCCCAGGGCUCAACCCUGGAAGUGCACUCGAAACUCCCGAGCUGGAGUCCCGGAGAGGAAGGCGGAAUUCUCGGUGUAGAGGUGAAAUUCGUAGAUAUCAGGAGGAACACCGGUGGUGUAGACGGCUCACUGGACCGUAACUGACGCUGAGACACGAAAGCGUGGGCAGCAAACAGG